UCAAAACAAAACAAGGUAUUUUUUUACAUAAAAAAAACUAAGACAAUUGGACGAAAUUGGUGGCUUCGGUGUCCUCGCCACAACUCACACACCCUUCCUUAAGUGCCCCAAGGGUAAUGUUGAAGGCACACCCCAUCUCCGGCAGACCGGAGUCUAUUUCUGGUGGAUUAGGAACGGCUCAUCUCCCCGCCCAAGCAACACUUAAGGACGGACUUAGACCGUCGCCCAGAUGAGAAGUGGUCAAAGCGACAAUGGAAGAUAAAUUUUUGGACGCUUAAAAAUACAAGUGAUUGGCAAAGAUCGCCACGCACGUGAAUUACACGGCACCCAAUUGGAGGCGUUUGCCAUCCGGGUCGCCUAAUCCUGAGGAGCUCCAAGGGGAUAGAAGGGACGUGCUGAAAAGACGUUGUUGGACGCGCGGCUGGGGUGCGGAAUUAAUGUCUCUAAUUCCAGAUUAGAUUUCACAAGUUCAACGUUGGUUAUUGUCGAAGCUGCAGCCAGAAGAAGAGACCGCUAUCUGUGAAAAACAGCGCGAGUCCGCACGGAGCUAAAUGGUCCGGAGGACUUCGGUGGUCCCAGAGAUGACCACGUGGUCAGCGCGGGUAUUCGUUCCCGGAACGGACUUACCGAGGGAAUCUCCGUAUGUGGCCGUCUCGGAGGCCGUUGCUGGGGCUGCUGCUGCUGCUGAUCUGAUCGCUGCUGCAGAUCGCUGCUGCCGUUGCUACGGAUCACUGCUGCUGCCACGGAUCACUGCUGCUGCUGGUGAACGAUGUGGUCUUCACGACCAGGUUAGGUCCGCCAGCAACUAAAGCAAAACCCUGACCUACACCAAAGUCGUUCGCCAUUUUCCCUCCCGCUCUCCCAAAAUGGGUCAGUGAACGUAUCCAAGGCUAUUUAACCCAGUUAACAAGCGAACCGGGCUAAAUUUAAAUAGCUACAUCCUCUCCCGCUAUCAACAGUCGGUGUCACCACCGAAUCUUAUCGAUAGCGGGACCUGCUGAUGUAUCGGUUGUUUUGGUAUUUUCCCGACGCCUUCAACUAAAAAUGCAACAACACAUAGCAAGACAACACUAUCGUAUUUGAAUAUUUUUUUUAAAACAAACUUAUCACCAUUGCAUUAAUGCUGAAAUAGCCUUUUUGAUUCAAAUAUAAUAGAUAACAUGCUUGCCAUCUACGCACGCAAUGAAGUUAAAAAUUUUUCCAAAAAGUAUUCCCUAGAUUGAGUUAUGUGAACUGGUGUUGGUUCGCAGGAAAUGUUCUCGGAGCA